rnacentral:rRNA from 1 species
GACGAACGCUGGCGGCGUGCUUAACACAUGCGAGUCGAGCGAUGAAGCUCCUUCGGGAGUGGAUUAGCGGCGGACGGGUGAGUAACACGUGGGUAACCUGCCUCAUAGAGGGGAAUAGCCUUUCGAAAGGAAGAUUAAUACCGCAUAAGAUUGUAGUACCGCAUGGUACAGCAAUUAAAGGAGUAAUCCGCUAUGAGAUGGACCCGCGUCGCAUUAGCUAGUUGGGGAGGUAACGGCUCACCAAGGCGACGAUGCGUAGCCGACCUGAGCGGGGGAUCGGCCACAUUGGGACUGCGACACGGCCCAGCCUCCUACGGGAGGCAGCAGUGGGGAAUAUUGCACAAUGGGGGAAACCCUGAUGCAGCAACGCCGCGUGAGUGAUGACGGUCUUCGGAUUGUAAAGCUCUGUCUUUAGGGACGAUAAUGACGGUACCUAAGGAGGAAGCCACGGCUAACUACGUGCCAGCCGCCGCCGUAA